AUGGAGCCUUAUUUAUAUGUCAGCUGGUUAUUUUCUAAUGAGAGUUGUGCAAGUAAUCCUCAGACCCGAGAUCACCAUGAUACCUUAUGUACAUAAAUCCAUAUUUUGCUUCAUUCCUUAGCUUGGUUCUCUGAUUCUUAUGUGAGAUGUUCUAGACAUGGUGUAGUAUGCAUGGAGGUUAUGAGUGGUCAAUAAGGAAUCAAUCACUCCUAAUAAGGAGA
rnacentral:lncRNA from 1 species